UACAGAGGUCUCGAGCGUUAGGCGGAAUCACUGGGCUUAAAGCGUGUGUAGGCGGGUCGUUAAGUGCCUUGUGAAAUCCCAUGGCUCAACCAUGGAACUGCUGGGCAUACUGGCGAUCUUGUGCAACCUAGGGGCGAGCGGAACAGAUGGUGGAGCGGUGAAAUGCGUAGAUAUCAUCUGGAACGCCAAUGGUGAAAACAGCUCGCUGGGGGUUUGCAGACGCUGAGACACGAAAGCCAGGGGGAGCGAACGGG
rnacentral:rRNA from 1 species